UCAGAGGACGAUGGUAUAAGAGGAAUUCAGAAGGCCAAGGACAAGAUUAAAAAAUGAACUCAGGCGAUAACGCUCAGACUAGAAAUAGCCGGGACGAGAGCAUCGCUCACAGAUUUAUGAAGAAUCCAGAAAUGUGUCUCAUCAUUAUGAAGGAAGGGCCAGCCUGUGGGUUUGUGGGGCCUCAAGUCAGAUCAUCGAAAGAAUGGCCAUAACAUAAUAACAUCUAUAGAACCUCUGCAAUGUGAUGAGUAGUUUUCUUCUUUUUAAGAUAAAACACUAGAAAUAAUCACAGUGUACAUACAUUUCUGUAAAAAGCUAUUUCUGCCACAUCUCUCCCUGAAAAAUAAAUAAAUAAAUUGUUUAUUUGGAGUAACUCA
ensembl:lncRNA